CACCAAGAUGGCGCCAGGCCCGCGCGGUUAGAGGUCACCGGCACGCGGAAGGGAUCUCUCCAGUUAUGGUUGUUGACUGAGACAGGACCGGAACUGGGAUCUGCUGGGAAUCUAUCAACAGGAAUAGAUGGUAAGACCCUAUUACUGAAGACUCU